ACGGACCUACGGGGCGCAGCAGUGAGGAAUAUUGGUCAAUGGGCGGGAGCCUGAACCAGCCAAGUCGCGUGAGGGAAGACGGUCCUAUGGAUUGUAAACCUCUUUAGGCGGGGAGCAAUGCCGGGCACGUGUGCCCGGAGGGAGAGUACCCGCAGAAUAAGCAUCGGCUAACUCCGUGCCAGCAGCCGCGGUAAUACGGAGGAUGCGAGCGUUAUCCGGAUUUAUUGGGUUUAAAGGGUGCGUAGGCGGUCCGUUAUGUCAGCGGUAAAAUUGCGGGGCUCAACCCCGCCGAGCCGUUGAAACUG
rnacentral:rRNA from 1 species